rnacentral:rRNA from 1 species
UAGGGAAUCUUCCACAAUGGACGAAAGUCUGAUGGAGCAACGCCGCGUGAGUGAAGAAGGGUUUCGGCUUGUAAAACUCUGUUGUUAAAGAAGAACAUAUCUGAGAGUAACUGUUCAGGUAUUGACGGUAUUUAACCAGAAAGCCAUGGCUAACUACGUGCCCG